AUACUUAACCUGGCAGGGAAGAUAUGAUCACGAAGGUGGUUUUCCAAGGGCAAGGCUUAGCCAUUGCUCUCUGGUUGUGCUGAGCCCUGCAGUUUCCCCAGAUGUGGGAAACUCGACUGCAUGGUUUGUGGUAGUGGGGGACUGCAUUCACUCUUUCCCCUG
ensembl:snRNA U1 U1 spliceosomal RNA